rnacentral:rRNA from 1 species
UACGUAGGGUGCAAGCGUUGAUCGGAAUUACUGGGCGUAAAGCGCACGUAGGCGGCUUUGUAAGUUAGAGGUGAAAGCCCGGGGCUCAACCCCGGAACUGCCUUUAAGACUGCAUCGCUUGAAUCCAGGAGAGGUGAGUGGAAUUCCGAGUGUAGAGGUGAAAUUCGUAGAUAUUCGGAAGAACACCAGUGGCGAAGGCGGCUCACUGGACUGGUAUUGACGCUGAGGUGCGAAAGCGUGGGGAGCAAACAGG